UUUACCAAAUGGUGGCAGCUUGGUUGCAAAUAUCUUGCAUGUAUGUGUGUUUUAGGGGGGAAGAUCCUCGAUUUCUCAGGGCUCCUAGAGCUGGGGAGAAGAAGAUGCGGUCUUGCUGGCUUGCUGCUGCCCCCGGUCUGAAAGAAGGAGAAAAGGGCCAUCAUUGGAGGGCUUUCAGUGCCAAAAUGUGGACCAGCCCGGCAAGGUCAGAGGUCCUGGACCGCGGGAGACCAAGGUCUCCAGAUGGCUGUGACGUAAAGGAGAAACAUCCUGCAUGAAUUUCUUAUGAAUAAACAGUCUCUAUUUAUGUUAAAGUGGAAAGGUUAGGAUCUUUACUUUUUAGGAUCAGAAUUUUGUUCUAAUGCCAGUCUCCCCACCUUGUUGCCAAGAGGCAUACAGCAACCCUAUUUAUAUUGUCAUAGAGUGUAUAACAGAUUAGGUCAUUGCAGGAAUCCCCUUUUCGUACUUGGCUGGUAUCUAAUUCACAUAGAUGUAAACCACAGUCCACCACUACAGUCCAGGCCAGCAUUUCCUGUAUAAAAAUUAUUUAAGUACGGCUAUGUGCAUAGCCCAUGUAAAUCCACUUGACUGGCUUGCUUUCUAAUAAAAGCACUCUGUUAUUUUAGUGUGUCCAGAAUUUCUUUUUGUAGGCCAUUUAGGAUACAUUUCUAGUAUGCCUGAUAUAUAAUGUGCAUAGGAAUACCUAAUAGAAAUCCAUUUAAAGUAUUGCAGAAAUGUUUCAGUUAUUAUUAAUGCAAACACUCUAUGGGCUUUUAAAGAGCAAAGACUUGUGUUUUAUUUUUAUGUCAAAUAUUCUGUUGUUUGAAUUUUAUUAAAAAUUAAAAUUACCGUU